rnacentral:rRNA from 1 species
AUUGAACGCUGGCGGCAUGCCUUACACAUGCAAGUCGAACGGCAGCACGGGACCAAUCCUGGUGGCGAGUGGCGAACGGGUGAGUAAUAUAUCGGAACGUGCCCAGUCGUGGGGGAUAACGUAGCGAAAGCUACGCUAAUACCGCAUACGAUCUAUGGAUGAAAGCGGGGGAUCGCAAGACCUCGCGCGAUUGGAGAGGCCGAUAUCAGAUUAGGUAGUUGGUGGGGUAAAGGCUCACCAAGCCGACGAUCUGUAGCUGGUCUGAGAGGACGACCGGCCACACUGGGAAUGAGACACGGCACAGACUCCUACGGGAGGCAGCAGUGGGGAAUUUUAGACAAUGGGCGCAAGCCUGAUCCAGCAAUGCCGCGUGCAGGAUGAAGGCCUUCGGGUUGUAAACUGCUUUUGUACGGAGCGAAAAGGCUCUCUCUAAUACAGGGGGCUCAUGACGGUACCGUAAGAAUAAGCACCGGCUAACUACGUGCCAGCCGCCGCCGUAAGAC